rnacentral:rRNA from 1 species
UGCAGCAGUGAUAGCAUGUUGAAUGCACUAGUUCCCCCUGGAUCACUGAAGUUAAGCAACGUUGCACGUGGUUGGUAUCGAGAUGGGUGACCAUCUGGGUCAAAUCCCCGGGAUCUAUGGAAC